GGAGGGGCCGCAAUCGCAGGAGACGCAGCUUGGAGCAGCUUGGCCUCCAUCGAAGGUGGUUCAGUGUCGAGGAAGUGACACGGAGAGAGAGAGAGAGAGAGAGAGAGAGAGACAAGAGAGAGAGAAAGAGAGAGUCAAAACUGU